rnacentral:rRNA from 1 species
ACUCCUACGGGAGGCAGCAGUGGGGAAUAUUGCACAAUGGGCGCAAGCCUGAUGCAGCCAUGCCGCGUGUAUGAAGAAGGCCUUCGGGUUGUAAAGUACUUUCAGCAGUGAGGAAGGUGGGUAUGUUAAUAGCAUACUCAUUUGACGUUAGCUGCAGAAGAAGCACCGGCUAACUCCGUGCCAGCAGCCGCGGUAAUACGGAGGGUGCGAGCGUUAAUCGGAAUUACUGGGCGUAAAGCGCAUGCAGGUGGUUUGUUAAGUCAGAUGUGAAAGCCCGGGGCUCAACCUCGGAAUUGCAUUUGAAACUGGCAAACUAGAGUACUGUAGAGGGGGGUAGAAUUUCAGGUGUAGCGGUGAAAUGCGUAGAGAUCUGAAGGAAUACCGGUGGCGAAGGCGGCCCCCUGGACAGAUACUGACACUCAGAUGCGAAAGCGUGGGGAGCAAACAGGUUUAGAUACCCUGGUAGGCUGUGC